AUGUACUUCUGUGCAGCGGCUGGAGAGAAAACAAUGAACUUUUCUAAUGCUACAUUCUUAGCUGUCACAGGGCAGUCAGACAUAUCAGUGCUCCAAACUCCAGUACGGGGGUCAGUUUAUCCAGGAGAGUCGGUCACUCUGCAGUGCACAGUCCUCUCUGAGAUCGGAGCAGCAGAACUCCAAGUGCUCUGGUUCAGAGCUGCUGCAGGACAAUCCUUUCCUGAAAUCAUUUACACUCAUCAGAACAGCAGCAGCCGGCAGUGUGAGAUCAGCUCUUCUACACACAGCUCUGUGUACAACUUCUCCAAGAACAUCCUCGACCACCACCAUACUGGAACUUACUACUGUGCUGUGGCUGCUUGUGGGAAGAUCAUUGUUGGAAAUGGAUCAAGAGUAGAAUUAAAGGGGCCUGUGGAUCCUGUUGUGAUCUGUCUGGGAACAGCUUUGGGAGUGUGUUUGGUUGUGAUCUUUGCUCAAACCUUUAUAAUCUGUAAAAGGAGAAACAGUGACCACUGCAGUGACUGCUGAGAGUCUGAAUUACGCUCCCAUCCAUUUCAAAGAGAACAAACCCAAAACUGGACGAGUGAAGAGAGAACAGCCUGAAGACAUUGUGUACUCUCAAGUGAGAAGCUCUAAUGCUAAAGCUCAUCGUUCUCAUCGCUAGAUCUCUUUCCUUUA